CACAAGGGGUGAAGCCUGCGGUUCAAUUGGAGUCAACGCCGGGAAUCUUACCGGGGGCGACAGCAGGGUGAAGGUCAAGCUGAAGACUUUACUAGACAAGCUGAGAGGAGGUGCAUGGCCGUCGCCAGCUCGUGCCGUGAGGUAUCCCGUUAAGUCAGGU
rnacentral:rRNA from 1 species